UCCUUUUUUGUGAUGAUUGUUUGUAUAAUUUAAGGAAAUAUUUAUAUUUUGGACAUAAUUGCUCGUUUUUAUUUUUCUGUUCCUUUUGUAGAAAGAGAUUUGGUUGCUGUUGGCACCGAAGGGUAGAUUCAAGAAAGAUUUCGACCAAAUAACUCCACAUUUUACUGACAUUUUGGUGCAUUCUUUAAUUUGGAUUGAUGAUCUUCCAGAAGAAGCAACUCUGGUCAUUCAGUUAAGCCCCGCAUCUGGCUUGUUUGAAGUGUGUUUGGCCUAUCGGGGAGAGAAAACACUCCCUCUAAAAGGUGACGUCAUUGUGAGUGGAAAGGUAGUCAUUUACGAGAAGGAUUUUGAAAAAGAAAGAUGGUGUUGGGAUCGGCCUUUACCUACGGCUGCCAUCCGGAGGACUCUGAACAUUGAAGAUUUGAAGAACGCUUACGGCGCUAAAGGCUAUGAUUUGAGCCCGGAAUUCCAGAAUAACAUUAGCGAACUGCAAAUUUAUGAUGAAGUUUCCGUAGGGAGGCUCACUUGGAAGAAAAAUUGGCAGAGUGUGAUUGAUGGCGUCAUCAAAGCCGGUUUAUUGAUCAACGUUGACGACACAGCGGUCAGCUGUCCCGUGGCUAUUCAGUCCCUCAUUAUUAAACCGGACGAUAUCAAACUCAUGGACUACGGUAAUUUGCAACCACGUAUUCUUGUAAUUAUUGUAAUGCGCUUACAAGUUCUUAGAUAGAAAUUGUGAAUUUCGUGCCUUCACGGUCGCAUAAC
rnacentral:lncRNA from 1 species